CCUACUUACUGUGCCAUUAGAUAUUAUUUUGCUCGCACAGUCCCACCCAAGCUCAAACAUGAAGCCCGUCGAGACAGACAGUGGGUCUGUCUCAUCUGCUUCCGAGGACCUGAAAUAGUGGAGUCUGCAUGCCAGACAUUGUCGGGACCAAACUAAAAUCCAAGCGCCAGAAAUCUCAGCGAGUUAGCAGUUUCCGGAUGAACUCGAGUGUAACGAAAGGCACUUGGAGAAGCUGCGCUGUCUGUGGCUUUUCUUCACCUGCUGGGAUUAUGCGCUUGGUCUCUUGUUAGCAAGCACAGGAGUCGCACCUGCUCAGAAGUGCACGGUAACAAGAGCCGCAUGGGGCUCAGCUACCCUGUCUUGUGAAGCAGCGAACGGCCAGCGAUUUCUUUGGAAGACUCUGGGUUUUUCUAGUCACCUUUAUAAUAACAGCCUAGCUACUUCCACGAACAUGCAAUUGAGAGUUGGCUCUGUCUGCAGCCUUGAAAUGAGUUUGGAGUGCUAGGAUUGCCCACUGAAAGCCAGUGAGUGGCCUUGGCUCAUGCUGGAAAGCGUGUGUCAGCACGCUUCCUGGAAUUUACCCAAUCUUGGGGCUAUUUCCGAAGAAACUAUCUGGGCUCUCAAUUUUGGUGAGUUCCAGGGGAUUCGCUAGGUCAAAUGCGUCUCAUCAUCCCUUAUUUCUUAUUCAUCAUUGUAAUUUUCCUCACAUAAAGUAGAAAAUGAUGUCUGGUUCACUACAGAAAUAUGGAAGAGAAAUAUAACCGUCGUAUAUUUUUCUGCCUUGAAGGAGUGUAAUGGACACAUACAGCAUUUUAGUUCCCCUGAAGAAAAUGCUGCUUGUUGUCUACCAGGUACCAGGGAAAGGAAAUCCUGCUGCCAAACCAUGGUGAGCAGGGACUGUGAUCACCGUGUAACUGUUGUCCCCAUUUCGCAAAUUAGGGAAUCACAAAGGGGAGUGGUGCCUCGAGUCUCACAGCUCAUUAAAGAGGUGACUGCUAAGUGCCCAUGUUGGGACACUUUUUCCAACAGCUCUCCAAAUCCUGAGCCACUUUUUCUGCUCGCUCUGGGUUGAGACAGGUCCACUCCAUUUUUGCUCUGGUCUGGAGAAGCCCAGGGGCCAAAGGGAUUUUGUUAACUCGGGGUCAAUACUGCUCUUUGAGGCCCCAUUCCAAGUCUCCACAGGACUCAGAAUUCAUGCCCGGAUGACCUCAGAGCACUUCCCAAGUAGAGCUUCCAAACAAUGGGCAGAAUUAGCCAGCAGGGUCUCCUCCCAGGCUGCUGUGGUUCUCUUGUGCCCUCCUAAAAUUCAUACAUCGAAACUGAAGACCUAAUAUGAUGUUAUUAAAUGCUCUGUAGAGGAUGGUUAAGUCAAAGGAUCGAUGCCUGUAGAGACAAGGUAAAAGGGAACCAGCCAGUCACCUUUGACCACCAACUCUUAUGAUGUGAGGACACUUGAUACCGCUGUGGAAGCAGAAGACCCAUCGAUAGCAUAGCAGCCAGUGCCUUGGUCCUGGGUUUCUCAGCCUCCAGAACACUGAGAAUUCUUUAUAAAUGAUCCAGAUUAUGUAUCUUGUGAUAAAAGAACAAGCAAGCACAGCCUACACGAUGCUGUUGAUAGGAAGAGUCAUGGUGGAGCUACUGAUAGCCUGCUUCUUCAUUUUUGUUCCCAUCCUGUUGAUCGUACGUGUUGAGAGGGGGGGGGUGUCUGUCACGACACUAGGACAGUCAGGACUGUUACUUAGAACAUGCUGUUUUCCUGCAUAAGAGGCAGAUUCAGGAUAUAAGUCCAGGUCUUGCUAAGGGUUCCCUUAGCCAUUGUACCGCAUCAACUCUGACCUAAGACCCUCUCAAUGAAAGACACUACAGUCACUGUUUACAAACUGGUGGCAGAGCAUGGUGCGGUGUAGAAACUCAGGACCACUGUGAUGAGCUGAAGAGUCGGUGUGACAGAAAGAUGGGUGCAGGGCUAGGGAGACGGCUCAAUCAUUAAAGGGUUUGCCUCAGGAACACAAGAACCUGAAUCCAAACCUUUCAAAACUGCCUGGUGAUGGAUAUGGGCAUGUGUCUUCGUUACUGUUCUAUUGCUGUGAAGAGACACCAUGACUAAGGCAACGUAUAGAAGAGAACCUUUAAUUGGGGGCUUGCUUAGGAGGAUUAGUCCAUGAUCAUCAUAAUGGGGAACAUGGCAGCAGGCAGGCAAGCGUGGUGGAGAAGUAGCAAGAGCUUUACAUCAUGAUCCGCAGGCAGCAGGCAGAAGGAGAAACAGUGUGCCUGGUGUGGGUAUUUUAACCUUCAAUGACCACUCCGAGUGAUAUAUCUCUUAAGUUGCCACAAAUAGUUCCCCUUCCUGGUGACUAAGUAUUCAAAUAUGUAAGCCAAUAGGAGCCAUUCUCAUUCAGAGCACCACACUUAGUAACCCCAGCCCAGAGAGGCAGACACAGGUGGAUCCCUGAGACUCACUAGCCAGGCACACAAUGAGUGAGCCCCAGGCUAAUGAGAGACUGCCCCAAAGGAGUUAGAUGACAUUCCCGCAAUGAUGAUCAGGGUUGUCUUUGGGCCUCCACAUGAUCACUCACAUACUCAAGUGCAAACCCACACAUGAACAUAGAUACGUCUCCCAUGCAAACGUAUAUACACAUAGAUUUAAAGAGAAAGAAGAGUCCAAAGUCCUAAAUGGACUCAAGUUUCAGCUCUGCCAGCCAAAAGAUCUAUGGUCUCUACAGGUGGUCACCUUUCUUUUUAGUCUAUCCUGGCUGUACAGUGGAGUAAGAAUACCCACCCCUGGGAGUGGUUGUGUAGCGUGAGGAGACAACGUGAGAGGGAGACCGUCCAGGAAUGAAGCGAUGCACCGAUACCAGAGUUUCCUCCAAGGGGCCGCGUGAGUAGGUCCAGAGCCAGAAGUCAGGGAGAUCAAUGCCUGGACACUCCAGUUUGCUGGGAAAUAGUUCUCCGUGUUUUAGAAUUAUUAUAUGAAGUAUUUUUUAAAACCUUAACAUUGAGCUAGGCAAAACAAAGUAGCCUUAACGACAAAGGACUAGCAUGUGGUCUUGUGUAUAUCAUGCAUGGCAAGGGCAUUCCAGAACUAGUCUAGGUAGCAGGGCUUUGGCACUCAAUUCCACAGCCAACUAAGAGUCUUUAUUUGCUUCAAAAGCAUUCAGGAAUCCAACUGUGACAGUGUUGACGGGUUUCUGCCCUACCUGGUCCCACAGCCGUUCAGUCCCAAAGAAAUCAUUAGAGACCUUCUUUUCCAGCUAUAUGAAAAAGAAAGGUGAUUUUUUUCCCCCAGUAUUAUAGUUCACAUUGACAAAAACAAAAAUAAGUGAAUGAAAACAUCAGGUGUUUGUUUACUGGAAAAAGCCAAGGACAUAUGAGUCAAAUUAGAUUAAUGAAGCCAAACCAUGGGGAAAUAGGUAACCUAGCUGGUAAGAUACUGGCAAAGAAGUAAGCAAUUUCAUUGGCUAUAGAGAAGCUAACAGAGCAGCUGGCCUGCAGGCAGCGCAUGCCAUUAUGUGGAAAUGGCCCCCUUCAUGGCCCUGGGUUUGCUCAAGGUUGAGGGCUGUGUGGAUAGAGCGAAUAUCAGUGGCUAGGUUGAGAGAGGGAGUUUUGAGUGUGGUGGUUUCACAGAGGCAAAUGGCUUCUGUCUGCAGACUUCACUAUCCACGUCUCAUAAAAGGGUUAGAAUGGUGCUUCCCUCGCUGCAUAGCUGUCAGCUGUUCUCUACGAUAAAGCGUGUAAAAUACUUGGCUACAGGACUGACCCUUGGAGGUAUUCCACUAUGACUUUAGAUGACUCUGCUAUAAAACCAUUUAAGGAAUUGACAGCCAUUUUAAGGGCAGAAAUAUAUGCUAAGAAAUUAAAAAGAAAAAAAUGCACAGGGAACAACUUAAACUUUAUUUUAUGACAUAAAUUCCAUGUAUGCUGUUAGGCAAUCCACACUAUGCUGAACACAUCAGUUUCUGGAGAUUGUUCCUGAAGUCUUCUGGAAGGUUCCCUGGCUUUGCUGGAUUCAUGAAGACAUGGACUGCAGAACCCGUGGCGCAUGCCAGAGGGUCAAACUGUGCUAAUUUAGGGUGGCCUAAGAAGAAACCAUCAGUGAGGUCAUGGUGAUCUACUGAAGGCAUCUCCUCGGUGGAUUUAGGAGGAAACACAGCCAGUCGCUUGUAUGAAUGUCUCCAACUGAACACAAUUUGCUUUUGAAAGAAGAAAAUGUUUUAAAAUGACUGAAUGUAAAAAAAAAAGAAUAAAAGAAGAUUCAAAGAUCUAAAUGAGGCUCUUUGGUCUUGUCCCUGGCUGUCCUCCUCUGUGUUCCUUCCUCAGGAACACCAUGUCAUGGUCUGUUCAAGUGCUCUAAAAAAGCAUCAUAGCCUGGAUGGAUUAUAAACACAGAAGUUCAUUUCAUACAGUCCUGACAUCCAGGGCAUCUAAGAUCAAGAUGCUAACUGACUGGGGUCUGGCGACAGUCCACUUACUGCUUCACAGACAGCUUUAAAGUGUGCGCAGGGCAAAAGCAAAGGCAUUCUCCAGGGUCUAGGUCAUAAGAGCAUUAAUUCAAUCCAUGUAACUCUGCCCUUGUCACCUAAUCGGCUCCAUGGGCCCCAUCUAGAGUCCCUCAUCCUGAAGAUGAAGUUUCAAUGCAGGCAUCCAAGAUGACACAAACAUCCAUGGCAUUGCACAGGGAAAA